rnacentral:tRNA from 1 species
GCACCUGUAGCUCAGUUGGAUAGAGCAACGGCCUUCUAAGCCGUGGGUCGAGGGUUCGAAUCCCCCAGGCGCACCA